UUGCGUUUAACUUUGUAAUAGUUAGAAAUGUGCCCUGAAAGACAAGUUAGUUUAAAUAAGUUUGUGUAAACCAACAUUCCGCGCAAUAAAAUGAUCCGUAAAGAACCGAUCAGGCACCCCUGGUAAAGCCUACCCUGAAUUUGCCAUGCACCAUCCCACGCUCUUGCCAACCAACACACAUGACACUAACGCAUACAUGCCGAAUCGAGCACACGACAGCCUGAGCGACGCUGAGAACAGCGAAGAACACAUAAUCCCACGCAGGUACAGAUCGGCUCAAGAGAGUCACGAGGUCAGCGGUGACACCGACGAUGCAUGUCAAGCAUCUCCCUCUCGUGCGAGACACACAAGCGAAAGCGUCGCGACGGCGGAAGUCUCUCUGAGCACGCCACGCCACUACAUGGAAAGCAGCAAGGAGAAUCGCUGUGCAGAGAUGAAACUCCCAGUCAGUCCACGCAGAUCAGUCGUUCGGUACGGUGCGGUUUAGUGCGCUGCUACGGGUGUGUCGCUUUGAACAAAGCUGCAUAAAAAUUGCAACAGUGGAAUCCGGGAAUACAGCCACCCAACGAACCGUGACCAACGGCGUUGCAGCGGACAAAAGCACACGGCCAUCUUGUGGACCGACGAAGCCCUGCAGCCUUGCAUUCAGCUCUAUAGGCCGGAAUCAAUCGCCAUCUUGUUGAGGGCUAUUUGCGAGGAAGACACGCUUGCCCGUGGUACAGCUGGCAUCCCGACUACCACGCGCUCGAACCAAUCGGACUACGCGUAGGACGAGAAUUCUGGCUUUCUGGCGGCGAUUGCUAAAACGGCGAAGAAGAGGAAGAGCCUUCUCAUAAGAAGGCUCUUUUUUCCUGUUUCUAGUUUGGCCCAAGGCGAUUACGGGACGAACGACGCCGCGGGGGAGCCGUGAUCUGGCGCGGACUGGGAUCGCAGCGAGAGGCAAGGUCACCCAAGGACGGGUGCAGCGAUACAGCCGGUGGAUGGCUGACCGUGCGUGAUUGCUCCGGCAUCGGGAGAAUGCCGGUUGGCGACGCAACGUACCGACGGGAUCUGUGAGUAGGAGAUAAAGAGAAUCUUAGUUGAUAAGGAGAUAAAGGAGUUAGGAAUGGGACUGGUAGGAUAGAGGAGAGUAGGCAGUGGCACAAUGGGGUGUGAUUAGUAAUAAAGCGUUGGCAACAUGUACUUUCUUGUAGUUGGUGCUUCAUUUUCAGUGUUUGUGCUCGAAUAACCACUCUGGGUAACAGCUUUGCGUUACUGGUCGGGGAAUUCACAACAGCAG